UACGUAGGGUGCGAGCGUUGUCCGGAAUUAUUGGGCGUAAAGAGCUUGUAGGCGGUUUGUCGCGUCUGCUGUGAAAUCCGGGCUCAACCCCGGACUUGCAGUGGGUACGGGCAGACUAGAGUGUGGUAGGGGAGACUGGAAUUCCUGGUGUAGCGGUGGAAUGCGCAGAGUAUCAGGAGGAACACCGAUGGCGAAGGCAGCUCGCUGGGACGGUACUGACGCUGAGGCGCGAAAGCGUGGGAGCGAACAGG
rnacentral:rRNA from 1 species